rnacentral:rRNA from 1 species
ACAGUGUCUGGUGGGUAGUUUGACUGGGGCGGUCUCCUCCUAAAGAGUAACGGAGGAGCACGAAGGUUGGCUAAUCCUGGUCGGACAUCAGGAGGUUAGUGCAAUGGCAUAAGCCAGCUUGACUGCGAGCGUGACGGCGCGAGCAGGUGCGAAAGCAGGUCAUAGUGAUCCGGUGGUUCUGAAUGGAAGGGCCAUCGCUCAACGGAUAAAAGGUACUCCGGGGAUAACAGGCUGAUACCGCCCAAGAGUUCAUAUCGACGGCGGUGUUUGGCACCUCGAUGUCGGCUCAUCACAUCCUGGGGCUGAAGUAGGUCCCAAGGGUAUGGCUGUUCGCCAUUUAAAGUGGUACGCGAGCUGGGUUUAGAACGUCGUGAGACAGUUCGGUCCCUAUCUGCCGUGGGCGCUGGAGAAUUGAGGGGGGCUGCUCCUAGUACGAGAGGACCGGAGUGGACGCAUCACUGGUGUUCGGGUUGUCAUGCCAAUGGCACUGCCCGGUAGCUAAAUGCGGAAGAGAUAAGUGCU